rnacentral:rRNA from 1 species
AGCUCCAAUAGCGUAUAUUAAAGUUGUUGCAGUUAAAAAGCUCGUAGUUGGAUUUGUGGCUGUCUCGUGCUGCCCGGCUCUUUGAGCUGUGGUUUGCGUGAGUCGCCAUCCUUGGGUGGAAUCUGUGUGGCAUUAGGUUGUCGUGCAGGGGAUACCCAUCGUUUACUGUGAAAAAAAUAGAGUGUUCAAAGCAGGCUUAUGCCGUUGAAUAUAUUAGCAUGGAAUAAUAAGAUAGGACCUUGGUACUAUUUUGUUGGUUUGCGCACCAAGGUAAUGAUUAAUAGGGACAGUUGGGGGUAUUCGUAUUCCAUUGUCAGAGGUGAAAUUCUUGGAUUUUUGGAAGACGAACUACUGCGAAAGCAUUUACCAAGGAUGUUUUCAUUAAUCAAGAACGAAAGUA